GAUGGAUGGAUAGUUAUUAACCUGUUUGAUUGGUGAUUUGAAUGAAAUGAGUUUAGAGAUCCCAUGAGAUCCCAUUUACCUCCUCGUCUUACUUCCACGCUUGUGGUGUGACAAUUUCCGCUUCAGCUUCUCCCUCAUGCAUGUUGAGCUGUUGUGUUUCAUGUUCAUUUCUUUGCAUACGUUACACUGAACAUCACAGUUUCUCCGAAUCUGGUUUCAGCGGCCGUCUUAAAUUUUGUAUGCAUUUGGAUGUAGCGACUUAUCCGUAGUAAAGUAUGAAACUUGAGAAGGAUUUUUCUGGGUAACACACUGUGUUAAUGAGGUAGAACACACAGCCCGUGAGGUAACGCAAACUGUUUAAUCUUAAUGUUAAAGGUUAUUUUACUGCUUUCAAAUGACUUUAAUUAUUGAAUUUGUUGAACCUGUUGAUUACAGGCCUGAUGUUACUGUUAAUGUAUUUUGUGUUAGUGUAUAUUAGUGCAGGUGCAUUAGUGAUAGACAGACAGACAGACUUUAUUGAUCCCUCAAGGGAAUUUAUAUGUAUUUAUUGUUUCUUUUUAGACAGAUAGUCACUGCAAGUGUUUUAGUUCCAUUCUGUUAGUGUGUGUUAAUGCAGGUGUAUUAGUGUGUGUUAAUGCUGGUGUAUUAGUGUGUGUUAAUGCAGGUGUGUUAAUGCAGGUGUGUUAGUGUGUGUUAAUGCAGGUGUGUUAGUGUGUGUUAACGCAGGUGUGUUAGUGUGUGUUAAUGCAGGUGUAUCAUUGUGUGUUAAUGCGGGUGUGUUAGUGUGUGUUAAUGCAGGUGUGUUAGUGUGUGUUAAUGCAGGUGUAUUAGUGUGUGUUAAUGCAGGUGUAUUAUUGUGUGUUAAUGCAGGUGUGUUAGUGUGUGUUAAUGCAGGUGUGUUAGUGUGUGUUAAUGCAGGAGUAUUAGUGUGUGUUAAUGCAGGUGUAUUAGUGUGUGUUAAUGCAGGUGUGUUAAUGCAGGUGUGUUAAUGCAGGUGUGUUAGUGUGUGUUAAUGCAGGUGUGUUAGUGUGUGUUAAUGCAGGUGUGUUAGUGUGUGUUAACGCAGGUGUGUUAGUGUGUGUUAAUGCAGGUGUAUUAGUGUGUGUGUUAAAGCAGGUGUAUUAUUGUGUGUUAAUGCAGGUGUAUUAUUGUGUGUUAAUGCAGGUGUGUUAGUGUGUGUUAAUGCAGGUGUGUUAGUGUGUGUUAAUGCAGGUGUAUUAUUGUGUGUUAAUGCGGGUGUGUUAGUGUGUGUUAAUGCAGGUGUAUUAUUGUGUGUUAAUGCGGGUGUGUUAGUGUGUGUUAAUGCAGGUGUGUUAGUGUGUUAAUGCAGGUGUAUUAGUGUGUGUUAAUGCAGGUGUAUUAGUGUGUGUUAAUGCAGGUGUGUUAGUGUGUGUUAAUGCAGGUGUAUUAUUGUGUGUUAAUGCAGGUGUAUUAUUGUGUGUUAAUGCAGGUGUGUUAGUGUGUGUUAAUGCAGGUGUGUUAGUGUGUGUUAAUGCAGGUGUGUUA
ensembl:lncRNA